rnacentral:rRNA from 1 species
AGCAGCCGCGGUAAUUCCAGCUCCAAUAGCGUAUAUUAAAGUUGUUGCAGUUAAAAAGCUCGCAGUUGAAUUUCGGGGUUAGUAGGUUGGUCGUGCCUCUGGUAUGUACUCGCCUUACUGAUUCCUCCUUCUUGAAGAACUGUAAUGCCAUUAAUUUGGUGUUGCAGGGAAACAGGACUGUUACUUUGAAAAAUUAGAGUGUUUAAAGCAGGCCGAUGCCUGAAUACAUUAGCAUGGAAUAAUGAAAUAGGACGUUGAUCCUAUUUUGUUGGUUUCUAGGAUUGACGUAAUGAUUAAUAGGGAUAGUUGGGGGCAUUAGUAUUCAAUUGUCAGAGGUGAAAUUCUUGGAUUUAUUGAAGACUAACUACUGCGAAAGCAUUUGCCAAGGAUGUUUUCAUUAAUCAAGAACGAAAGUUAGGGGAUCGAAGACGAUCAGAUACCGUCGUAGUC